rnacentral:rRNA from 1 species
AAAGCAGGGGAUCGCAAGACCUUGCGCUUUUGGAGUGGCCGAUGCCUGAUUAGCUAGUUGGUGGGGUAAUGGCCUACCAAGGCGACGAUCAGUAGUUGGUCUGAGAGGACGACCAGCCACACUGGGACUGAGACACGGCCCAGACUCCUACGGGAGGCAGCAGUGGGGAAUUUUGGACAAUGGGCGAAAGCCUGAUCCAGCAAUGCCGCGUGAGUGAAGAAGGCCUUCGGGUUGUAAAGCUCUUUCAGUCGAGAAGAAAAGGUUGUGACUAAUAAUCACAACUCAUGACGGUAUCGACAGAAGAAGCACCGGCUAACUACGUGCCAGCAGCCGCGGUAAUACGUAGGGUGCGAGCGUUAAUCGGAAUUACUGGGCGUAAAGGGUGCGCAGGCGGCUUUGUAAGUCAGAUGUGAAAUCCCCGGGCUUAACCUGGGAAUUGCGUUUGAAACUACAAGGCUAG